AUACGGAGGGUGCAAGCGUUAUUCGGAAUCAUUGGAUUUAAAGGGUCCGUAGGCGGGCUAUUAAGUCAGAGGUGAAAUCCCACAGCUCAACUGUGGAACUGCCUUUGAUACUGAUAGUCUUGAGUUACAGUGAAGUAGAUAGAAUAUGUAGUGUAGCGGUGAAAUGCAUAGAUAUUACAUAGAAUACCGAUUGCGAAGGCAGUCUACUAACUGUAUACUGACGCUGAUGGACGAAAGCGUGGGGAGCGAACAGGAUUAGAAACCCUAGUAGUCC
rnacentral:rRNA from 1 species